CCUACGGGAGGCAGCAGUGAGGAAUAUUGGUCAAUGGACGAGAGUCUGAACCAGCCAAGUAGCGUGAAGGAUGACUGCCCUAUGGGUUGUAAACCUCUUUUAUAAAGGAAUAAAACGAGGCACGUGUGCCUUUUUGCAUGUACUUUAUGAAUCAGGAUUCGCUAACUCCGUGCCAGCAGCCGCGGUAAUACGGCGGAUCCGAGCCUUAUCCGGAUUUAUUGGGUUUAAAGGGAGCGUAGAUGGGUUGUUAAGUCAGUUGGGAACGUUUGCGGCUCAACCGUAAAAUUGCAAUCGAUACUGGCAGUCUUGAGUACAGUUGAGGUAGGCGGAAUUCGUGGUGUAGCGGUGAAAUGCUUAGAUAUCACGAAGAACCCCGAUUGCGAAGGCAGCUUACUAAGCUGUGACUGACAUUGAUGCUCGAAAGUGUGGGUAUCAAACAGGAUUAGAUACCCGGGUAGUC
rnacentral:rRNA from 1 species